rnacentral:rRNA from 1 species
GAUGAACGCUGGCGGCGUGCCUAAUACAUGCAAGUCGAGCGAACAGACGAGGAGCUUGCUCCUCUGACGUUAGCGGCGGACGGGUGAGUAACACGUGGAUAACCUACCUAUAAGACUGGGAUAACUUCGGGAAGCCGGAGCUAAUACCGGAUAAUAUAUUGAACCGCAUGGUUCAAUAGUGAAAGACGGUUUUGCUGUCACUUAUAGAUGGAUCCGCGCCGCAUUAGCUAGUUGGUAAGGUAACGGCUUACCAAGGCAACGAUGCGUAGCCGACCUGAGAGGGUGAUCGGCCAAACUGGAACUGAGACACGGUCCAGAGUCCUACGGGAGGCAGCAGUAGGGAAUCUUCCGCAAUGGGCGAAAGCAUGACGGAGCAACGCCGCGUGAGUGAUGAAGGUCUUCGGAUCGUAAAACUCUGUUAUUAGGGAAGAACAAAUGUGUAAGUAACUAUGCACGUCUUGACGGUACCUAAUCAGAAAGCCACGGCUAACUACGUG